rnacentral:rRNA from 1 species
UACGAAGGGGGCUAGCGUUGCUCGGAAUUACUGGGCGUAAAGCGCACGUAGGCGGUCUUUUAAGUCAGGGGUGAAAUCCUGGAGCUCAACUCCAGAACUGCCUUUGAUACUGAGGAUCUUGAGUUCGGGAGAGGUGAGUGGAACUGCGAGUGUAGAGGUGAAAUUCGUAGAUAUUCGCAAGAACACCAGUGGCGAAGGCGGCUCACUGGCCCGAUACUGACGCUGAGGCACGAAAGCGUGGGGAGCAAACAGG